GAUUAUGGCUCAGGAUGAACGCUAGCUACAGGCUUAACACAUGCAAGUCGAGGGGCAGCGGGAUCUAGCUUGCUAGAUUGCCGGCGACCGGCGCACGGGUGAGUAACGCGUAUCCAACCUUCCCCUUAGUAGGGCAUAGCCCGUAGAAAUGCGGAUUAAUACCCUAUGUUGUUCAAUGCGGACAUCUAAGUUGAACCAAAGGUUUACCGCUAAGGGAUGGGGAUGCGUCCGAUUAGGCAGCAGGCGGGGUAACGGCCCACCUGGCCGACGAUCGGUAGGGGUUCUGAGAGGAAGGUCCCCCACAUUGGAACUGAGACACGGUCCAAACUCCUACGGGAGGCAGCAGUGAGGAAUACUGGUCAAUGGGCGAGAGCCUGAACCAGCCAAGUAGCGUGCAGGAUGACGGCCCUAUGGGUUGUAAACUGCUUUUAUGCGGGGAUAAAGUGCGGCACGCGUGCCGUUUUGUAGGUACCGCAUGAAUAAGGACCGGCUAAUUCCGUGCCAGCCGCAGC
rnacentral:rRNA from 1 species